rnacentral:rRNA from 1 species
UACGAAGGGGGCUAGCGUUGCUCGGAAUCACUGGGCGUAAAGCGCACGUAGGCGGAUCUUUAAGUCAGGGGUGAAAUCCUGGAGCUCAACUCCAGAACUGCCUUUGAUACUGGGGAUCUCGAGUCCGGAAGAGGUGAGUGGAACUCCGAGUGUAGAGGUGAAAUUCGUAGAUAUUGGGAAGAACACCAGUGGCGAAGGCGGCUCACUGGCCCGUAACUGACGCUGAGGUGCGAAAGCGUGGGGAGCAAACAGG